GCUUGUGGCUGCUUCGCGAUUCCCGCUGCGCUCUGACUUUGCUCGUCCUGGGUGACGGCCUUGUGACGAGUGUCACGGUCUUUAUUUGCAGAGAUAAUAACAGCAGUGGCUGCUGCACUCCAGGGUGAGCGUGUCUGUGCCGGUCCUGCGUGCGUUUUCCCGCUCUGCCCCUGAGAACCUUCCUGGCACUCGGGCCCAAGGAGGCUGCCGGGCUGACCUGCUCCGGGCUUUCUCUUCCUCCUUGACACCCAGCACUGCCCGUUGGGUAUUUGCAAAGGUUGUUGUACUUUAGGACUUUUUUUUUUCAUAAUCUGAAGCAUCCAGCUACAGAUAUCUAUUAUAUAAGCAGAUACCAAAUAGCCAUUAUUUUGGAGCAUUUUGCUGGAUGGUGGAAGAAGAUAUUGAAAGAAAACAGACAGUCUACGAGUAAAACAGUGUGCCCCAUGGAGCUUACGGUCUGAUAAAUGUUCUUCCCCCAGAAUACUUUGCUUAUCUUUGGGAAAAUUCACUGUGUUGGGGCUGGCGUUGUGGCGAAGCUAGUAAAACCGCUGUCUGCAGUGCCAGCAUCCCAUACGGACGCCAGUUCAAGUCCCGGCUGCUCCACUUCCAAUCCAGCUCUCUGCUAUGGCCUGGGAAAGCAGUAGAAGAUGGCCCAAGUCCUUGGGUCCCAGGACCCGCAUGGGAGACCUGGAAGAAGCUUCUGGCUCCUGGCUUCGGAUCUACACAGCUCCAGCUGUUUCGGCCAACUGGGGAAUGAACCAGCAGAUGGAAGACCUCUCUCUCUUUCUGCCUCUGGCUCUCUGUAAUUCUGCCUUUCAAAUAAAUAAGUAAAUCCUUUCUUUAAAAAAAGCAAAUCGAUUACAAGAAAGCAUAAUAACAGCUACAUAAGCUGACAGCAAAAGACAAGCAGAAAAAAUUAUUUAAAUCAAAUAAUGAGGAAACAAUUAGACAAUCCAAACUGAAGGACCUUCUGCAAAAUAAGCAGUCCAGAUUCUUCAACAGCACCAAUGACAGAAGAGAGAACCAGCAAGCUGUCCUCCUGCAGGCGUGAGAAGGGGACGGACUUCUUCCUGGCCUCCUGUUUCGCUCACUUGCUUGCUCUCUUCUUUAAGGAUGUAUUUAUUUACUUGGAAGAGUUACAGAGAGAGAAGGAGAGGCAGAGAGAAGCUUUCCCAGGCCAUAGCAGAGAGCUGGAUUGGAAGUAGAGCAGCCGGGACUCGAACCAGCGCCCAUGUGGGAUGCCGGCACUGAGACAGCAGCUUUACCUGCCAUGCCACAGCACUGGCCCCCGAUUUGAUUUAGCUUAAACACUUUUGGCAAGGACACAUGAUGUUGUAUCCUCAGUGUAUCACAUUAGAAGUCCUAUGACACCAUUUGUCCUAUUUUUGCUAAAGUUAAUUAUUUUUAACUGAAAGAUUUAUUUAUUUAUUUAUUUAUUUGAAAGGCAGAGUUACAGAGAGAGAGGGAGAGACAGAGAGAAAGAUCUUCCAUCCACUGGUUCACUCCCCAGAUGGCUGCAAUGGCUAGGACAGGGCCAGGCCAAACCUAGGAGUCAGGAGCUUCAUCCAGGUUUCCCACAUGGGUGGCAGGGGCCCAAGUACUUGGGUCAUCUUCCACUGCUUUCCUACUCACAUUAGCAAGGAGCUGGAUUGGAAGUGGAGCAGCUGGGGCUUGAACCUGCGCCCAUGUGGGAUGCCAGUGACAUAGGCAAUAGCAUCACCCACUACACAACAAUGCUGGCCCCCAAAGUUAAAUUUGGUCACUUGAUUUAGGUACAGUUUGCUAAGUGUUGCUGUUGUAAAGGUAUCUUUCCUUUUUUAAUUUUUUUUUUUUUUUUUUUUGACAGGCAGAGUGGACAGUGAGAGAGAGAGACAGAGAGAAAGGUCUUCCUUUGCCGUUGGUUCACCCUCCAAUGGCCGCCGCGGCCGGCGCGCUGCGGCCGGCGCACCGCGCUGAUCCGAUGGCAGGAGCCAGGAGCCAGGUGCUUUUCCUGGUCUCCCAUGGGGUGCAGGGCCCAAGCACCUGGGCCAUCCUCCACUGCACUCCCUGGCCACAGCAGAGGGAUAGCCUGGAAGAGGGGCAACCGGGACAGAAUCCGGCACCCCGACCGGGACUAGAACCUGGUGUGCCGGCGCCGCUAGGCGGAGGAUUAGCCUAGUGAGCUGCGGCGCCGGCCUCCUUUUUUAAUUUUUUUAAAAAAGAUUUAUUUAUUUAUUUAUUUGAAAGGCAGAGGUACAGAGAAGGAAAGAGAGAGAUCUUCCAUCUACUGGUUCACUCUCCAAAUGGCCACAAGGAGCAGGACUGGGCCAGGCCGAAGCCAGGAGUUUCUUCUCUGUCUCCCAUGUAGGUGCAGGGGCCCAAGCACUUGGACCAUCAUCCACUGCUUUCCUAGGCCAUCAACAGGGGACUGGGUCAGGGAUGGAGCAGCUAGGACUCCAACUGGCCUGUCUCGGGCAGUGGCUUAACCCACUUCACCACAACUCUGCCCCCCGCUAGUUUCCUUUAAUAAAGAGUUUUUCCUGAAGCUAGCUUUGUCACAUGUGGGCUAAGCUGCUGGUUGCGACACAGGUAUCCCAUAUUGGAAUGCCGGGUCCAGUCCUGGCUGCUCAGCUUCUGAUUCAGCUUCCUGCAGUUGCACCUGGGAAUGCAGGGGAUGAUGGCUCAAGUGCCUGGGCCAUGCCACCCUCAGGGGAGACCAAGAUAGAGGUUCUGUUUCCCGACUUUGGCGUGACCCAGACCUGGCUCUUAGCGCCAUUUGGGGUGUGGAUGGAAGAUUUUUGUGUCUCUUUCUCCCUCUCUGUUGCUGUGUCUUUCAAACAAAUACAUAAGUGAAUCUUUAGAAAAAAGCUUUUCCCCUCCUCCUCCUAACCUUUUUUUCUUUUCCACCAGGAGCUCAUCAAUUUCAUUGUUAUUGUUUAUUAAAAGCAUUGUAACCCAUUACUAUCAUUUUUCUAUUUGAUGCUCAGAUUGUUCCAAACUUGGCCAGUGUUAAGUUUUUGUGUAGUGAAAUGUAUCCGUUUUUUCCUUUAUGUCUUAUGUUUUUGGUUCCUAAUUAGAUUGUUACCUAGUCCAAGCUUAUAAAUACAUUUUUCUAUAUGUUCUUGUAAAAUAAACAUUUAAAUAAGCAUUACUUGCAUUUAGGUUCUGAUCUACCUGGCCUGUAUUUUGGUAUAGAGUGAGGUAGGGUUCUACUUUAUUCCCAUUGAACAACCAGUUGUCUCAGAACAACUUAAAUUUUUUUUAACAUUUAUUUUCAUUUUAUUUGAAGGAGAGAGAGACAGAAAGGCAGAACUCCUCUGCUGGUUGACUCCCCAGAUGUCUGCAAUAGCCAGGACUGGGUCAGUUCAAAGCCAGGUGCUGGAAACUCAAUCCAGGAAUCCCCAUGAGUGGCUAAGGCCCAACUACUUGAGCCGUCACCUGCUGCCUCCCAGGGUGCACAGUAGCAGGAAGCUGGAAUUGAGUGGGGCCAGGACUUGAACCCAGGCCCACUGACAGGGGAUAUGGGUGUUCCAAGCAAUGUCUUAAUUGCCCAAACAAAGCAACUUUUUGAAUGAAGUGUUCUUUUUUUCCUUAAAGCUUAUUUAUGUUUGAAAGAGAGAGAGGGAAUUACCUCGCAUCUGUUGUUCACUCCCAGUGCCCAUGAUAACUGGAGCUGGGCCAGGCUGAAGCCAGGGAGCAGGAACUCAGUCUGGGCCUCCAUUGGGCGGCAAGGACUGCAGUACUGAAGCCGACGCCUGCUGCCUGCCAGGGCACACGGUAGCAGGAAGCCGAUCCGCAGCGGAGGCAGGACUUGAUCCCAGUGCUCCAGUAUGGGAUGUGGGCAUCCCAAGCAGAGGUUUAAUCUGCUCCGUCGGGGCCGGCACUUUGGCAAAGAGGGUAAUGCCGCUGCCUACAGUGCUGGCAUCCAAUAUGGGCAGGUGCCACUUUGAGUCCCGGCUGCUCCGCUUCGGAUCCAGCUCUCUGCUGGUGGCCUGGGAAAGUAGUGGCAGAUGGCCCAAGUCCUUGGGCCCCUGCACCUGCAUGGGAGACUUGAAGAAAGCUCCUGGCUUUGGAUUGCUCAGCUCUGGCCGUUGCAGCCAUUUCGGGAAGUGGACCGGCAGGUGGAAGAGCUUUCUGUCUUCUCUCUGCCUCUGCCUCUCUGUAACUUUGCCUUUCAAACAAACAAAUAAAUAAAUCUUUUUAAAAAAAUGCUCUGCCACAUUGCUUACCCUAUGGAUAAUAUGUUCUUAUUUCAUGAUUUACAAUCUCAUAUCUGUAAAAUGCCAAGUGUUCAUAUUUAUUUGAAUCUGUUUCUGGGUUCCCUUCUGAUCCAUUGGCCUAUUUGUUUAUCCUGUGCUUGUAGAACAAUAAUUUAAUUACCACAAAUUAAUACUAAGGUUUGAUGUCUUACAGAAUAUGAAUUUCCCCACCUUUUUUAUUAUAAUCAUCUUGGCUAUUCUUGCCUACUCUAACAUAUUAGUUUUAGAAUUUAGAAUCAGCUUACUAAAGUCCAUAAAAUUCCCUGUUGAUAGUUUUAUGUCCUCCUUAAGGUCUUUAUACAGUUUUUAAAAUAGAUUUAUUUAUUUAUUUGAAAGUCAGAGUUAUAGAGAUAGAGGGAGAUCUUCCCUUGGUUCACUCCCCAAAUGGCCACAAUGGCCAGGGCUGGGCCAGGCUGAAACUAGGAGCCAGGAGCUUCAUCCAGUCUCCCAUGUGGGUGCAGAGGCCCAAGCGCUUGGGCCAUCUUCUGUUGUAUUCCCAGGCACAAUAGCAGGGAGCUGGAGUGGAAGUGGAGCAACUGCCCAUAUGGGGCACUGGCACUGUAGAUGGCAGCUUAACUUGCUACACCGCAGCACCAACCCCAGUCCUUGUACAUCUUUAUUCAGACUUAUUCUGAGUUACUUAUUUUUAUUGUUGUUAUUGGCAUCAUUUUGUAAUUUAACUUUUCUGUUUGUGACUGUGGUAAGAGAGUUGUUUUCUUUGUAUUAUAUCUAACAACCUUGAUGACAUAUCUUUUAAAGCUCUAAUGCAGAGCUGGUGCUGUGGUGUAGUAGGCUAAAUCUCUGCCCAUGGUGCUGGUAUCCCACAUGGGUGCCAGUUCGUGUCCCAGUUACUCCUCUUCUGAUCCAGCUCUCUGCUUAUGACCUGGGAAAGCAGUAGAAGACGGCCCCAGUGCUUAGGCUGCUGCACCCACGUGGGAGACUCUGAAGAAGUUCCUGGCUCCUGGGUCAGCUCUGGCCACUGCGGGCAUUUGGGGUGUGAGCCAGCAGAUGGAAGACCUUUCUUUCUGUUUUUCCCUCUCUCUCUAACUCUGCAUCUCAAAUAAAUAAGAUUUUUU